rnacentral:rRNA from 1 species
AAUCAACGCUGGCGGCGUGCCUAACACAUGCAAGUCGAACGCGAAAGCCCCGCAAGGGGUUAGUGAGUGGCAAAACGGGUGAGUAACACGUGGGUGACCCUGCCCUCGAGUGGGGGAUAACGUCCCGAAAGGGACGCUAAUACCGCAUAAUAUGCCGCCUUUUUAAGAGGUGGACAUCAAAGCUGGGGAUCGCAAGACCUAGCGCUUGAAGAGGGGCCCGCGCCUGAUUAGCUAGNGGUGGGGUAAUGGCUCACCAAGGCAACGAUCAGUAUCCGGCCUGAGAGGGCGGACGGACACACUGGGACUGAGACACGGCCCAGACUCCUACGGGAGGCAGCAGUGGGGAAUUGUUCGCAAUGGGCGCAAGCCUGACGACGCAACGCCGCGUGGAGGAUGAAGACCUUCGGUCGU